rnacentral:rRNA from 1 species
GGGGAAUUUUGACAAAUGGCGCAAACCUGAUUCAGGCAUUCCGCGUUCAGGGAAAAAGCCCUCCGGUUGUAAACUUCUUUUGUCCGGGAAGAAAAUCUUUGGGGUAAUUCCUUGGGAGGGUGACGGUUCCCGAAGAAUAAGGCACGGCUAACCUAGGGCCAGCAGCCGCGGUAAUACGUAGGGUGCGAGCGUUAAUCGGAAUUACUUGGGCGUAAAGCGUGCGCAGGCGGCUUUGCAAGACAGAGGUGAAAUCCCCGGGCUCAACCUGGGAACUGCCUUUGUGACUGCAAGGCUAGAGUACGGCAGAGGGGGAUGGAAUUCCGCGUGUAGCAGUGAAAUGCGUAGAUAUGCGGAGGAACACCAAUGGCGAAGGCAAUCCCCUGGGCCUGUACUGACGCUCAUGCACGAAAGCGUGGGGAGCAAACA